GGAUUUAGCUCAGUGGUAGAGCGCUUGCCUAGGAAGCGUAAGGCCCUGGGUUCGGUCCCCAGCUCCG
rnacentral:tRNA from 1 species